rnacentral:rRNA from 1 species
CGUACCUACGGGGCGCAGCAGUAGGGAAUUUUCGUCAAUGGGCGCAAGCCUGAACGAGCAAUGCCGCGUGAGGGAAGACGGUCCUAUGGAUUGUAAACCUCUUUUGCCGGGGAGCAAAAAGCGGUACGUGUACCGCAUCGAGAGUACCCGGAGAAAAAGCAUCGGCUAACUCCGUGCCAGCAGCCGCGGUAAUACGGAGGAUGCGAGCGUUAUCCGGAUUUAUUGGGUUUAAAGGGUGCGCAGGCGGCGAGUUAAGUCAGCGGUAAAAUUUCGGGGCUCAACCCCGACGAGCCGUCGAAACUGGC